rnacentral:rRNA from 1 species
AAUGUUAAGAUAAGCCAUGCACGUCUAAGUACAAACUAAAUGAUGGUGAAACUGCAAAUGGCUCAUUACAACGGUUAUGAUGUACCCGGGAGUUCCGAUGGAUAUUUCCAGUAACACUAGAACUAAUACAUGUCCCUGCGUUUAUUAGUUUCGCACAGUCCGUCGCUGAGUCAUGGUAAACAGUUGAUCGACUCGACGUCCCGGAACAGUUUCCGCCCCAUCAGCUUCGAUGGUUGGGUAUUGGCCUACCAUUGCAACAACGGGUAACGAGGAAUUAGGGUUUGAUUUCGGAGAGGGAGCCUGAAAAAAGGCUACCACAUCUACGGAUGGCACCAGGCGCGCAAAUUCCCACCAGCACACCCUGUGACGCAUGACAAACAAAAAUUAAAGCGAGACUUUCC